rnacentral:rRNA from 1 species
UACGAAGGGGGCGAGCGUUGUUCGGAAUUACUGGGCGUAAAGGCGCGUAGGCGGCCCCUUUGUCGCGUGUGAAAGCCCCCGGCUCAACUGGGGAGGGUCACGCGAUACUGAUCGACUCGAAGGCAGGAGAGGGAAGUGGAAUUCCCGGUGUAGUGGUGAAAUGCGUAGAUAUCGGGAAGAACACCGGUGGCGAAGGCGGCUCGCUGGGCCGUUGCUGACGCUGAGGCGCGAAAGCGUGGGGAGCAAACAGGG